GUCAGGGGCAGGGUCUGGAGCAGGCACAUCCGAGACCAGUGAGCUCAGAACCUGUGUUGCUGAAUCAGUCUGCACCACAGAACCGCUAGUGGUGCUGUCAGAGCAGCGCCUCCGAGCUACAUGGCUGUCUUACUGGAUGUGGAUGGUGCUGCUCCUCCUGGCUCUCUACUUCAUCCUGCUGCUGGGGUUCUUCCUCUGGGGUCUGAAGGUUCCACACCACAGCUUCUGAUAUCUCACUUCUGCUGCACUGCAUCUCAGCUCUACACCACAGAGUUCUGGGAUUUAGCAGAUGCUUUUAUCCAAAGCAACUUGCAGUCAUGCAUAUUUUUACUUCUGUACCACUGAGGUCUAAGAACUGAAUUCUGAGCUAUGCACCACCAACAACUGAGAUAAACUGGGCAUGGCUUUGUGAAUGCAGGAGUUCCCAUAGUGUGGUCUGCAGUUGGGCUCUGCUCAACUACCAGAGUCUCUCGCUGUGCAGUGAGUUUAAGAGGGAUGAGAGUAACAGAGUUAAGAAUGUGCAGUAAACUCACUCCACAGCUAGCUUGAAAUAUCACCAACGGAUAGCAAACAGGAUCCUUUUCUAUAGCUCAAUUGGUUGGUACAGUACGUUGCUGUCACGCCUCCUCCCUUCCUCAGGCGCUCGAUGUUGUCGGUCUACUAAGCACUGGUCCUUGCAACCCACAUUGCGAACACCUGGCAAUCAUCAUUAUGCACACCUGGACUUCAUCACCACCCUGAUUACUAUUCCUUCAUAUAGCCCUCACCACCCUCAGUCAUCAGGCUGUAUUGGUUUUGUUUUCAUGUCUAGACGUGGCACUUGUUUUGUAACACGCUAUGUUCAUUAUUAUUAAACUCACCAUCUGCAA